AGGAAUUUAGGUUACAUAGACCAAGAGCCUUCAAAGCUCUAAGCAAGAGAAAAAAAUCACUUAAUUCCUG
rnacentral:tRNA from 2 species